UUCGCUGACGAGUGGCGGACGGGUGAGUAAUGUCUGGGAAACUGCCUGAUGGAGGGGGAUAACUACUGGAAACGGUAGCUAAUACCGCAUAACGUCGCAAGACCAAAGAGGGGGACCCUCGGGCCUCUUGCCAUCGGAUGUGCCCAGAUGGGAUUAGCUUGUUGGUGGGGUAACGGCUCACCAAGGCGACGAUCCCUAGCUGGUCUGAGAGGAUGACCAGCCACACUGGAACUGAGACACGGUCCAGACUCCUACGGGAGGCAGCAGUGGGGAAUAUUGCACAAUGGGCGCAAGCCUGAUGCAGCCAUGC
rnacentral:rRNA from 1 species